rnacentral:rRNA from 1 species
CCCUACGGGGUGCAGCAGCCAGGAAAUUUGAUAUCUGUUUUUAUCAAUACUACCCAGGGGCGAAGCAGCAAAAGAAGAGCAUGGUUAAAGGCUUUUUCGAUUUUUUUAACUGCCCAGGGCGGAAGGCUAGCUAUCUCGGAUGGUCUGCAGCAGUGCCGGGAAAAUUGACAUCUGUUUUUAUCAAUACUACCCGGGGGCGAAGCGGCGAAAAAAGAGGCUGGUUAAGGGUGUUUUUAAUUGUGGCAGGUGUCCAGGGGCGGAGGUUCGGAUCUGCCGGAGCUCUCGGAUGGGCUGCACCAGUGCCCAGGGGCGAAACCGGAUCCGAAGCUGCAGCAGGGCGGAAAAUUUCAUUCAGGAGCUGCAGGCGGAGCAAGUGCCCAUUGGCGGGGGAGC